AUAUUGGUAGUAUAAUGAGUACAAUUGCCUUCCAAGCAGAUAGCCCAAUCACAGGCCAAUAU
rnacentral:tRNA from 1 species